rnacentral:tRNA from 1 species
GUGGGUUGUGGCUCAGUGGUGGAGCACUUGCCUAGCACAUAAGAGACACCGGGUUCAACCCUCAGCACCACA